rnacentral:rRNA from 1 species
GGACGAACGCUGGCGGCGUGCUUAACACAUGCAAGUCGAACGGGGCGAAGUGAUAGCUUGCUAUUAUGGAGCCUAGUGGCAAACGGGUGAGUAACGCGUGAGCAACCUGCCUUUCAGAGGGGGGAUAACGUUUUGGAAACGAACGCUAAUACCGCAUAACGUUACGAGGUCGCAUGGCCUUGUAACCAAAGGAGCAAUCCGCUGAAAGAUGGGCUCGCGUCCGAUUAGAUAGUUGGUGGGGUAACGGCCUACCAAGUCGACGAUCGGUAGCCGGACUGAGAGGUUGAUCGGCCACAUUGGGACUGAGACACGGCCCAAACUCCUACGGGAGGCAGCAGUAAGGAAUAUUGGGCAAUGGGCGAAAGCCUGACCCAGCGACGCCGCGUGAGGGAAGAAGAUCUUCGGAUUGUAAACCUUAGUCAACAGGGAAGAAGAAAGUGACGGUACCUGUGGAGGAAGCCACGGCUAACUACGUG